UUCGCCUCUCCACCACCCACCGUAGCCAAGCAACCCUAGCCGCUUUCCCCAUCUCCUCCUCCCAGAACUAGAAUUUCGCCACCCCGAAUCCCUUCCAUGGUAGGACUUCCGUUUGAUUCCGGGUCGAAUCCGUCGCCUCCGAUGCCGGAACGGUGAGGUUUUCCCUCCCUUUAUAUGGACAACACGCGUUUGUUUUUUCUGUUGCGCAGGUUUCAGAUCUUGGAUGGACUUGCUCAUCCUUCGGCGGCCAUGGAUCUAUCGGCGGAAGCUGCUGCUGCUGCUCGUCCUCGCGUUCGGCGAGUCAGAUCUGGAGCCGAUCUGACCUCUUAGAGGUCCGGUUGGGGCAUGCUCCGUACGAGCUGGCGUGGAUGAAGCGGCGGGGCGAGGGAGGAGGCUGGUCGUCGCCUGGAUCCUCUCCAUCGGGGCCUCGCGCGAUGAUGUCUCUUUGUAUUGAUAAUUAUUCGAUGAACUUUCGAUAAUUAUUAGAUCUAAGAGAUGUUGUUCGAGGGAGCCGUGUGCUGAGAUGAAGGCGGCAAGGUAAGAGAACAUGUAACAAGCGAGGUGCUUGUGUCUGAGGGUCAAAAGAAAAAGAGACGAAAAAAAAACGAGAGAUGUGACAUCGCAAGAUUGGCCUUUGCCAUGUUGGGUGCGCUCGCAUGGCAGGCCACCGUAAUAAAGAUGAUCUUUUUGUGUCCUGGGGGGAGUUCGCACGGGGGUUAUUUUGUUUAGCCCCGGGUUCUCCCCCCAAUCUUGUGUCCCGUUGUCCCCUGGUUGUCCUCAGAUCCCACUGCGACUACAUCGUUCAACGAUCGCGCGUGAAUCUAAACGUGGAGCUACAGCGCAACAACCAAGGUACAAAAGAUAAUCUACAUGUGCAAUAUUAGUCGUAAUCAAAUUUCCAUAUCAUUCAGCGUUUCAUAAUUAUCACUGCCUUAAAAUAUCCCUAGUCACAUAAUAUUCCUGGAUUUACUUUAAAUUGCUUGAAUUACUUAAUUAUUAUUAUCAUUGCCAAUUAAUAUCCCUGAUAAACAGCAGUAUUAUCAUCCCUAGAAGUGCAUCUCACAUAUUGACUCAAGUUGAUUAAAGUUACGCUUGGUAAUUGGUUUAAGAGCAGCUGGAAUACUACGCAAUUGUUCUAACGAAUAUCUAGUACUUGCUUUGUAUACUUAAAUAUAUCCAUAAGUCGGUGUAGUGGUAAUAUUUGCUUCCGAGAUUAUGUGCUCAGCUAUACUCCGAACUGUCAACUAUCAGUUUGGAAGUAUGUUAUGUUGGUCAAAUACUAUUAUGAUGUUUCCAGCAUACGAUUGGAGAACUCUUGUCCAAUUUAAGUGAAAUAAGCUCUUGUUCUUGCCCAGAAUUUACAGCGCUCCUGCGCCUUAAUAUCAACUAAUUGUGUAUGAUUUAACCGCUCAGCUCUUUCACUUUGCCCUUUCUGUAUUUAUGCAUGUACGAGAAGGCUAGUAAUGUUUUAUAUAUUUGCACUGUGAGAAUUUCUUUUCUUGGAUAGUCAGCAAUGUAACCUCUUUUGCAAGCUGUAGAAUAUGAUCAUAUGUUGUCCUCCUUAGCAUUAUGUUAGUUUCUGUACGUUGAAGUACGAGAAUUUAUGUUCUUGAAGCAAAAAGUUAUUUAGCAUUUGUCUAUUCAUCAUAGUUUGUACUAUGUAGAAAUUGUAGCAUUCUCUCGUCGUUUUAAGGUGACCUGAAGACAAGUUCAACCUGAAGUCACCCGAAGAAAGGAGUAUUCUUGCGAAUCAAACUUGGUUGAGGUGGCCGUCUGGGAUCUUGACAUCUGAAGCUUGACAUCUGAAGCAAGAUGAUGAUGUUUUGCUGUGAUCACCUGUGCUCAUUACAUGGUGCUUCAGGAAUGACUUGUCUAAUGUUGGUAAUUGUUGGUGCUCAUCAAUUUUCAUGGUUAUUGUUGGACCGACUUUCCGGUAUGCUGGAUUAAGCUGUUGCAGCUUUGAAGUCUGGGGUGCCAACCUUGUUUGGACUAAUUGCCAGAUGUAUCAUUAUAAAUUUCUUCGGUGAGAGUUGAGCACCAUGGAGGUUCUGGAUAACAGUUCCGUCUCUGCUGCGGAAGGUUUGUUUUCUUGAGGUCAAUCCGGAGGUAAAUGGCUGUAAUUUGGGUCGUGUAAACAGCAUGGCGGCUACAUGUUAUACCAAAAGGAUAAGACACUCGUUUUUAUUUUACACGAUGAGUUACACUACUAUAUUAGCUGACGUUUUUCACAA